GCCUAGAUGUGCGCGGAAGUUAUGGAGACGUUGAAGGACUUAAAUAUUGCUGCAGUUUUGGAGAGGGCCUGAUAAGAAGGUUUUACAGUAUAUUGACGCAAUUAAAGGGAUAGGAAAGGAAAGAAAAGACUCGCUACAUUGAUUGUAGCUUAUUGCUUUGUUACUCUUUGGGUGCGAUCAAGUGGCUCAAAUUGAUUGAUUAUCUACUAAUACUAGUCUUACAACUUAUUGUAUUGUAGAUUAGUGAUAUGAAGAGAAGGAUCUUAAGUCAUACGUCUUGAUAUAUCAAGAUCAGGGGUGAAAUCUUAGCAUUGUCCAAUACCAAUUGGUAUAAGGGGGUGGCAGCUCAGGGGCGAAAUCCUAGCAUGGGUCGAUCUGCAUUGGUAUGGAAGGGUGGCAAUUUAUGGGCGAAAUCCUUGCAUGGGCUGAUCUUGAUUUGUAGAAUUAUGAGGACAGCAUCCCACGGGUUGAAAUGCCUAGCGUUGUUCAUCUUAAUCUACAGCUGAUCAGCUGGUCAUUUUUAUAACAUUUUGUAUAAAGAUUAAAAGUAUACAAAAGUAAAGGAUAUAAUGUAACCUACAUGAUUCAACAAGUACUACCAAAGGUUGUCUCUCAUCCUUAUGUAUUUGUAUUUGGUUUCA